GACGGCUGCGGACGUGCGUAUCGCCCUUUCACGGCGGCGACACGGGUUCGAAUCCCGUAGGGGACGCCA
rnacentral:tRNA from 1 species